UCCUCGAUAGUAUAGUGGUGAGUAUCUCCGCCUGUCACGCGGAAGACCGGGGUUCAAUUCCCAGUCGGGGAG
rnacentral:tRNA from 1 species